CAGAUUGACUGCAGUGAGUAUGAAAACCCAGAAACAUUUCUAGGAUGUAUCUGAGAAUAUAUGCCAAUCUGUGGUUCUAAUGGGGAAACAUAUGUCAACAAAUAUAUUUUCUGCCAUGCUGUUAAGCAGAGUGGUAAUAAAAUUCAACUUUUACAUAUGGGAUUCUGUUGAAUAAGAAACAUUUCUGAAAUGUACUCCAGUGUGUUUCAUUCUUAUUAGAAGAUAACGCAGAAGACAUCUGCUAUUUCCAGAAGAUUCUCUUUCAGAAUGUUGGAUCUUCAUUUGUGAUUGUAUUGAUGCUUAUAGAAUAAAGGAAACUUCACUGAAA